UACGUAGGGGGCUAGCGUUGUCCGGAAUCAUUGGGCGUAAAGCGCGUGUAGGCGGCCCGGUAAGUCCGCUGUGAAAGUCGGGGGCUCAACCCUCGAAUGCCGGUGGAUACUGUCGGGCUAGAGUACGGAAGAGGCGAGUGGAAUUCCUGGUGUAGCGGUGAAAUGCGUAGAUAUCAAGAGGAACACCUGCGGCGAAGGCGGGUUGCUGGGCCGACACUGACGCUGAAGCGCGAAAGCCAGGGGAGCGAACGGG
rnacentral:rRNA from 1 species